CACAUACAAAACUCCAUCAUUUGGGUUGACACGUAAGUUAAAUAUUGUGGAAUAUUGAGGAAAUUUUGUAAUUUUAUAUAUAAAUUCAUAGCAUUUCUUUUUUUCCUUUUUUUUUUUUUUGUUUGAAUUAGGGAGAAGAAGAAAAAGAGCAUCACAUGGGUACAAUUAAGUUACAACACGAUCAUGUUUUCAAAGAAAAUGACAGAAAACACGUGCAACUAAUGUGAAGAAUUCAAGAGGCACGUGAUGCUUCUUACCUCUUACAUAUAUACAUAUGUAUGUAUAUAUUAUUUUUCUUAACUUAAAUUUAAUUCUAAUCCAUAUUUUACCUCCUUAUUACUUUAAACUCUUCAAGACCAUAUGUAGACUUGUUUCUGUAAGUUAUGAUGUUAAUUAAUAAGGUUAUUUAAAAUGUCAAUGAUUAUAUAUAUAUACAUUACUUGCUUGA
rnacentral:lncRNA from 1 species